rfam:Macrostomum lignano uti_cns_0005398, whole genome shotgun sequence.
AAAACGGCCCUUUUAAGGGCCAUCCCCUCAUCAUCAGUUUUGUAA